GUGUGAGUUGUGAGAGCCGCCGAAGGAUGGGCUCAGCCCUUAGAAAUGCUUACUUCAUUUUCUCUCACUCCUUAAGCCCUACUCGAAACCCUAACACAAUUCCCCUAAUUCUUUGCCUCCAUUCCCUUCCAUCCAUUACCGUUUCUCGCCUUCCAUUGCAGACCAAACCUGAAGCGCAUCGCUCCCGCUCGGCCCCUGCUUCGUCUUUCUGUUCCUUCUCCUCUUCCAUGGCAGGCAGUGGCGCCGAGGCGGCGCCCUCUUCGGUGGAGAAGCAAUUCGAGGAUUUCAGAGUCCAGCUUCAGGAUUCUGGAAGCUUACGCGAGCGCAUUCGAAGUGUGGCAAUGGAGAUCGAGUCUUCCACGAGGCUUAUGCAGGCCAGCUUGCUUCUGGUUCACCAGUCUCGUCUGACUCCCGAGGUUCUUGAGAAGCCAAAAGCACAGGUUGGUUUACUAAAGUCGCUCUACAAGCGACUUGCUGAAAUUCUUCGUGAAAGCCCUGGCCUCUACUAUAGGUAUCAUGGAGACUGGAGGAGUGAGACGCAGACCGCUGUUUCGCAGCUUGCUUUUAUUAAUUGGCUAGAAACAGGAGAACUUCUUUUGCACACCGAAGCUGAGGAAAAACUUGGGUUAAAUGAAUCUGAUUUCAGUUUGGAUGUUGAAGACUAUCUUAUUGGCAUAUGUUUCAUGUCCAAUGAAUUGCCACGGUAUGUUGUCAACCAAGUGACAGUCGGAGACUAUGAUUGUCCAAGAAAGGUGCUCAAGUUUUUUACCGAUCUUCACGCAGCCUUCCGUAUGCUUAAUCUUCGCAACGAUUUUCUCCGCAAGAAAUUUGAUGGCAUGAAGUAUGACUUGCGAAGAGUUGAAGAAGUAUACUAUGAUGUUAAGAUUCGAGGCUUAUCGGCAACUGGCGAUUAAACGAGGAAACUAUCAUUGACUAUGAUACCAGAUGGUACCAGCACCAGAACACAGAAGUAAAAGGGUGAAACGGUCUCUGCCUGUCUUGAUUAUGUCAAAACUCAAAGAUGUUCUUCUUGGGUAACAAGUUUUGUCUGGUGUAAGGAUGAAAAAUGAUACCUGGGAUUAAUCUUAGAAGGAAAUGGUACUUAGGUUGCAAUAAUGGAUUACAAAGUAGUUUUCCAUGACUCUUGCAGAGCAGCGGUAGCCUCUUACUAUCCAAUCUGAGAUGGGGUUUUAUAAGGUACAUUUCUUGAGUAAUUUACAUUGUAAAAUGUAAUGUAAAUAUCUCAAACAAUUACAUGGCAAGGAUAUCGUGGGUAAUGUAAAUAUCUCAUUUUUAUUUUGUACAAGUAUUUUAAAAUAACUAGUUUGCGUUUGGUGGGUAAUUUGAAAACAAGGGAUUUAAUAUUUUUUUU